UGUUUAGAAGAUGAAUUUUUGAAGAAAAAUGAAGAACCAAUCGAUUCCUUUGUCUUUUUGUGAGUACGGAGUUCCAACCAAUCGAUUUAGUGAAAUUUUGUGAGAAAUCUCCCUAUCAAUCAAUUCAUUUGAUCAAUCAAUUUACAUGAAUUAAUUCUUUGAUAAAUUAAAAUAUGCUACCAAUGGGAGUCAAACCCGGGACCUCCUUGGUAUGGUACAAGCCUUACCACUAGGCCACGGAUUAUGUUGUUGAAUACUUAUGCAAUGGAUAAAUGUUAA
rnacentral:lncRNA from 1 species